rnacentral:rRNA from 1 species
CGGCGGACGGGUGAGUAACACGUGGAUAACCUACCUAUAAGACUGGGAUAACUUCGGGAAACCGGAGCUAAUACCGGAUAAUAUAUUGAACCGCAUGGUUCAAUAGUGAAAGACGGUUUUGCUGUCACUUAUAGAUGGAUCCGCGCCGCAUUAGCUAGUUGGUAAGGUAACGGCUUACCAGGGCAACGAUGCGUAGCCGACCUGAGAGGGUGAUCGGCCACACUGGAACUGAGACACGGUCCAG